rnacentral:rRNA from 1 species
AUUAAACGCUGGCGGCAUGCCUUACACAUGCAAGUCGAACGGCAGCAGGCCUUCGGGUGCCGGCGAGUGGCGAACGGGUGAGUAAUGCAUCGGAACGUGCCAUUGAGUGGGGGAUAACGUAGCGAAAGUUACGCUAAUACCGCAUAUUCUGUGAGCAGGAAAGCAGGGGACCGCAAGGCCUUGCGCUCUUUGAGCGGCCGAUGUCAGAUUAGCUAGUUGGUGAGGUAAAGGCUUACCAAGGCGACGAUCUGUAGCGGGUCUGAGAGGAUGAUCCGCCACACUGGAACUGAGACACGGUCCAGACUCCUACGGGAGGCAGCAGUGGGGAAUUUUGGACAAUGGGCGCAAGCCUGAUCCAGCCAUGCCGCGUGAGUGAAGAAGGCCU